ACAACUGGCCUGACCUUCAAAGGCCUUCACAGCUCCUGCCUUCAUGUUACCGUCUACUAUGUUCCUCGUGCACCUUCCACUCAGCACAAACAGGCUGCACUGCCUCCGAAACACAUCACUUGAAUCCUACCUCUGCUCCUUUGUCCAUCUGAAUCACCCUCUCCACAUUUCUGACCGUGUAAUCCUGAUCUCACUUCAUGAGGCAGUUCGCUUCUCUUUUGCAUUUAGCUUUCCCCGGGGUACACUGUCAAUAGCCUACUGUCUGAUGUCAUCAGUCAGCACUUCAUCAGAGGCAAUUAUGUCCACAGAGCUUUUGGCUAAUUACUGUCACUCCUCUUUACAUGUGUGCAUAUGCAUAUCAUCUUUCCCUAAUGAGACUGGAAAUCAUGAUUCAUUCCCUGGAGCAGUGGUUUCCAUAAGUGACCAACCCACAGACCAGUGCAAACUGGCUGCAAAAGAGCUUCCUCUGAGGAACUUAUUAGAAUGCAGAUUCUUUGACUGCAUGGGAGAGGAGGAUCUCAUAAAUCUGGGUGUAAUAGGCACAGAACGUUAGGUGUAAUAUGGGCGGGACUCUGGACUCAGCAUAUCCAACAAGCUGCUGGCUGAUUCCGACGAUGCCGAUGAAUUGCCAGGUUGGGAACUGCUGCCCCCAGAGAACCUAGCAGAGAGCUCUGUACGUGGUAGGUGCUCACUCCCCUAUUGUUUGGGUGUAUGCCUCCUGAUAAUGAACUUGAUCGUAACUUUAUUGUUGUAUUAUGCCUGUAUUGUUUCCUUAAGUGAAGGAAGAAUGCUUUUGAGUACCUAAUAGGUGGCAAGCUCUGUGCCUACUUACAUACAUGAACUAUUCCUUUUAAUAACCUUUGGAAAUAAAGUGGCAUUUCCAUUGGGCAUUAGAAAUCUGAAGACUUUCGUUUACAGCUGUUGCAACAGCAGAACUAGAAUUCGACCUCCGACAUUUCUGCUCACCAGAGGGCAUGAACUGCUGGUUUGUACCUGGCUUGCAGAUACCUUCUUUGGGCAGCACAAUGUUCAAAAUUAAAAAAACUACCAACACUUCUAAACUGGAUACUUUGUAUCAAUAUCUGGGUUUCUGGCUUCUCUUCACGGGAAAAAAACAAACAAACAAAAAGGUUUGGUGAACACUGGGGCCCACAUUCCUGCAGGGCAACAGUCACAUGGAGACUUUAGAUGGGCACGUGCCCAGAACACACUAGAGUCCCCAUCGCUCCCCAUUCUCUUACAUUCUGUUCCCAACUAGGUUCUUAUAGGCCUGGGUUUGUGCCUGUUGCACACUUAUCUACUCUCUUGCUUCCCACUGGUCAGGAAGUCUGGCAAACUUAAAAGGCCUCUUUUUGUUGCUCUCUUCUGUAUGGAUCUCUCAUCAUAGAGGUGUGUGCAUUUCUGACUUUGUGAUUUCAAUACUAAGGAAGCUGUCGGCAGAUUAUCAAGGAAAACGGGGAUCGCUGCUCCCCAACGUACACAUUCUGGUGUGCCCCAGUAAAAUUCUAUAUUCAGCCUCCAAACUAGCUGGGAAAAAUGUGGCAAAUCAUCUACUUGCUCCAAUUCAAUGGUGUUUAGAAGUAGGAAGUCACUGUGAGCAAUGCCACCAAGUGGUGGAGAGACUCCAUGCAGAAUCGCCACCUUCAGCCAGAGAGGCUGGGAGGCCGAAGACCUCUCUCAAUGCACAGGGCCAUUCAGAAACUAGAAACAAAAUGCUUGCUCAUCUCCCUAGGCCACUCCUUCCGAGGCUUUUUGAGACGAGGUCUCACUGUCACCCAGGCCGGAGUGCAGUGGCACAAUCAAGGCUCACUGCAACCUCAACCUUCUGGGUUCAAGCGAUCCUCCCACUUCAGCCUUUCAAGUAGCUGGGAUGACUACAGGCAUGGGCCACCACAGCCAGCUGAUUUUUUUUUUCUUUUUAGUAGAAAUGAGGUCUCGCCAUAUUGCUCAGACUGGUCUUGAACCAACACAUCUUUAGCUUUUUAAAAGACAGCCUUGGCCAGCCAUGGCAGCUCACACUUGUAAUCACUGCACUUUCGGAAGCUGAGGUGGGCAGAUAGCUUGAGCCGAGGAGUUCAAGACCAGCCUGGGCAACAUGGUGAAACCCCAUCUCUACAAAAAAUACAAAAAUUAGCUGGGUGUGAUGGUGCACAUCUGUGGUCCCAGCUACUGGGGAGGCUGAGGUGGGAGGAUUGCUUGAGCCUGGGAGGUCGAGGCUGCAGUGAGCUGUGAUUACCUCACUGCAUUCCAGCCUGGGCAACAGAGAACCCUGUCUCUAUUU
ensembl:lncRNA FAM106A family with sequence similarity 106 member A